rnacentral:rRNA from 1 species
GACGAACGCUGGCGGCGUGCUUAACACAUGCAAGUCGAACGGAAAUGCCCUGCUUUUGUGGGGUGCUCGAGUGGCGAACGGGUUAGUAACACGUGAGUAACCUGCCCUUUACUUUGGGAUAACUUCAGGCAACUGUUUCUCAUACCGGAUAGGAGCUCCUUCUGCAUGGUUGGGUUUUGAAAGUUUCGGCGGUUGGGGAUGGACUCGCGGCUUAUCCGCUUGUUGGUGGGGUAGUGGCUUACCAAGGCUUUGACGGGUAGCCGGCCUGAGAGGGUGACUGGCCACAUUGGGACUGAGAUACGGCCCAGACUCCUACGGGAGGCAGCAGUGGGGAAUAUUGCACAAUGGGCGGAAGCCUGAUGCAGGAACGCCGCGUGCGGGAUGACGGCCGUCGGGUUGUAAACCGCUUUCGACGGUGACGAAGCGUGAGUGACGGUAAUGGGUAAAGAAGGACAGGCUAACUACGUG